AUGGCAAGGAUGAAGUAUGAAUUUGGAAAUCUGAAAGAUUUGCAAGGAAGAAGGAAAUAGUCCUUGAUAGCACUAAUGGAUCAAGCUCCAUUACUAU
rnacentral:lncRNA from 1 species